rnacentral:rRNA from 1 species
CCUGCUAAAUAGAACACUCGGCUUUGGCUGGGUGCUUUCUUCUUAGAGGGACAAUUGGUUUCAAGCCAAUGGAAGUUAGGCAAUAACAGGUCUGUGAUGCCCUUAGAUGUUCUGGGCCGCACGCGCGCUACACUGACAGAGCCAGCGAGUAUACUUUUCCUUGGCCGGAAGGCCUG